rnacentral:rRNA from 1 species
UACGAAGGGAGCAAGCGUUGUCCGGAUUUAUUGGGCGUAAAGAGCGUGUAGGCGGCCAGACAGGUCCGUUGUGAAAACUGGAGGCUUAACCUCCAGACGUCGAUGGAAACCGUCUGGCUAGAGUCCGGAAGAGGAGAGUGGAAUUCCUGGUGUAGCGGUGAAAUGCGUAGAUAUCAGGAGGAACGCCGGAGGCGAAAGCGAGUGACUGGCGCGUUCCUGACGCUGAGGUGCGAAAGCUAGGGGAGCAAACAGG